CCUACGGGCGGCAGCAGUGGGGAAUAUUGGACAAUGGGGGCAACCCUGAUCCAGCCAUGCCGCGUGUGUGAAGAAGGCCCUCGGGUUGUAAAGCACUUUCAGUGAGGAAGAACGCCUGGUGGUUAAUACCCAUCAGGAAAGACAUCACUCACAGAAGAAGCACCGGCUAACUCCGUGCCAGCAGCCGCGGUAAUACGGAGGGUGCGAGCGUUAAUCGGAAUUACUGGGCGUAAAGCGAGCGUAGGUGGCUUGAUAAGCCGGUUGUGAAAGCCCCGGGCUCAACCUGGGAACGGCAUCCGGAACUGUCAAGCUAGAGUGCAGGAGAGGAAGGUAGAAUUCCCGGUGUAGCGGUGAAAUGCGUAGAGAUCGGGAGGAAUACCAGUGGCGAAGGCGGCCUUCUGGACUGACACUGACACUGAGGUGCGAAAGCGUGGGUAGCAAACAGGAUUAGAUACCCCAGUAGUC
rnacentral:rRNA from 1 species